rnacentral:lncRNA from 1 species
GUCUGGGCAGGUCCCUCUUGGGCCAGGUAUUUCAGCAGAAGUGGUGGUCUUACCUAUGCUCUCAGGUGUGUUAACGCUCCUGGGAGACCAGCUCUCUCCUGGUGGGAUUUAUUAUGGAGAACUUAGCACAGGGUCAGCUCUGGGGCACAGACAGAAAUUCCUGAGAUUUUUUUUUUUUAAAUGGCAUUUCAUCACUCAAGUCCUGGGUUAUUUUUUAAGGACUGUAACAGGGAUACUGGUUGUCAUCUAGAGGCUCACCCCACUCAUUCCAUGAGAUGGACAAAGUAUCAAAUGUCUGAAAAAGUCAGACGAUCAAUGAGUAGAUAAAACCAAAGCAACAGGCUUAUUUGAAACAGCUCUCUUCAGGAUGGGAAAGGCCUUCAAAAUGGGAGUCUAUUAAACUGAUUCUGGGUUGUGUA